CCACCAUAAAUAUUGAUAAGUGACAGCCAUAUCAUUAAUAUCGGUGUGCCAGAGAUGUAAAACGACUCUAAAACACUUGAAGCGGCACUUGACUCUCAUCCGCCAGCUGCUGCUCAGUUACAACAUCUCAAAACACAAAAAUUCUGAUGUUGUAGAGAAAGAUUUCAGAGUGUGGUACUGUGAAUGCCUGUAAAGAGGGCUGCGGGUCCUCGGAGACGCAGUCGAGAUAAGUGAGAAAUCCAUUGUGACACGAGGACAGGCUACGGAGACAACUGUCAUGAUGUCUUUGCUUGAGAUUUUCACAGUCGUUCACGAGCCCA
rnacentral:lncRNA from 12 species